UGCCCAAGAGAUCGGGAUAACACCUGGAAACAGAUGCUAAUACCGGAUAACAACAGAUGAUGCCUAUCAACUGUUUAAAAGAUGGUUCUGCUAUCACUCUUGGAUGGACCUGCGGUGCAUUAGCUAGUUGGUAGGGUAACGGCCUACCAAGGCGAUGAUGCAUAGCCGAGUUGAGAGACUGAUCGGCCACAUUGGGACUGAUACACGGCCCAAACUCCUACGGGAGGCAGCAGGC
rnacentral:rRNA from 1 species